rnacentral:rRNA from 1 species
CCCUUAGAGUUUGAUCCUGGCUCAGGACGAACGCUGGCGGCGUGCUUAACACAUGCAAGUCAAGGGGGCCCAGCAAUGGGCAACCGGCGAACGGGUGCGUAACACGUGAGCAACCUACCGAAAUGCGGGGGAUAGCCGGCCUAACGGCCGAGUAAUACCGCAUACGCUCUUAGUGAGGCAUUUCAUUGAGAGGAAACCUACGGGGUAUUUCGAGGGGCUCGCGGCCUAUCAGCUAGUUGGCGAGGUAACGGCUCACCAAGGCAACGACGGGUAGCUGGUCUGAGAGGAUGGCCAGCCACAUUGGGACUGAGAUACGGCCCAGACUCCUACGGGAGGCAGCAGUGGGGAAUCUUGCGCAAUGGCCUAACGGCUGACGCAGCGACGCCGCGUGUGGGAUGAAGCUCCUCGGAGUGUAAACCACUGUUGCCCGGGACGAAUAGCUCGAUUAAUCGAGCCUGACGGUACCGGGUGAGGAAGCACCGGCUAACUCCGUGCCAGCAGCCGCGGUAAUACGGGGGGUGCGAGCGUUGUCCGGAAUCACUGGGCGUAAAGGGCGCGUAGGUGGUUUGAUAAGGGUGUGGUGAAAGUCCGGGGCUCAACCCCCGGAUCUGCCGUGCCGACUGUCAAACUCGAGGACUGUAGAGGCAGACGGAAUUCCGGGUGUAGCGGUGGAAUGCGUAGAGAUCCGGAGGAAGACCGGUGGCGAAAGCGGUCUGCUGGGCAGUUUCUGACACUGAGCGCGACAGCGUGGGGAGCAA